CCACAUCGGCAAGAGUGGGGGAAACAGGGCCAUGGCCAAAGACAAAGGCGUUGAGUGUGUCUGACCAGAAGUAUGAUGCAGCUAUCAGCAGUGACUCGUUUCUAUGCAUAUCGGCAAUAGACAACCUAAUGCAUUGGGCUAGAUUUCUUUCACCCCAUUGGACUUCAUUUGAGUUGCUGACCCUCAAAAACCAAUCUGUCCACCCCAUGGUAGGGCUGGGCCAGGAACGAAAAGUAUCCUUCCACAGAUCCAAAGAAAAGUUCUCUACUCUAAAAGGGAUCCUGUUGGUUUCUAAGUUUAUGAGGUCGGUUGGAUCUGGAUCCCCUAACGGGCCAAGGCAUUGGAGAUGUGGUCGAUCAGUGGGGAUGACAAUUUUGUUAGCCGAUUCCUAAUGAUUUUUGAGAUAUAAAAAAAACACAAAAAAAGAGAAGGGGGAAAAAAUAUUCAGUACGGCGGAUUGCAGAUGAACAAGGGUGCGAGAAAAGUACGAGAGAUGGUGCGGAGAACUGACCUCAGGAAUGAUGAAGUUGACGGCCAUCUUGUCACGAGGGAGACGAACGAGGGCUUCGGAGUUGAUGAAGAAGGGACUUCGUCGAAGGUUUCGGAGCUUUUGGAACAGCGCCGCCGCCGGGAAGGUGAGGUUGGAGUUGUGGAAUGGU
rnacentral:lncRNA from 1 species